rnacentral:rRNA from 1 species
CUAAGAAUAUUCCGCAAUGGACGGAAGUCUGACGGAGCGACGCCGCGUGGAUGAAGAAGGCCGAAGGUUGUAAAGUUCUUUUGCUGGGGAAGAAUAACCGCAGGAGGGAAUGCCUGUGGGAUGACAAGAACCGGCGAAUAAGCCCCGGCCAACUACGUGCCAGCAGCCGCGGUAACACGUAGGGGGGCGAGCGUUGUUCGGAAUUACUGGGCGUAAAGGGCAUGUAGGCGGCUUGGAAAGCCUGGCGUGAAAGUCUGCAGCUUAACUGCAGGGGUGCGCUGGGAACUGCUGAGCUUGAGUGACGGAGAGGGAGCUGGAAUUCCUGGUGUAGGGGUGAAGUCUGUAGAUAUCAGGAAGAACACCGAUGGCGAAGGCAAGCUCCUGGCCGAUGACUGACGCUGAGGUGCGAAAGUGUGGGGAUCAAACAGGAUUAGAUACCCUGGUAGUCCACACAGUCGACGAUGUGGCACUAGGUGCUGGGGCGGUAGCUUCGGUGCCGGAGCGAACGUGGUAAGUGCACCGCCUGGGGAGUAUGUC